GUAUUUCUAAAAUGAGAACCUAGCGAAGGCCUAUUCACUUACUUCAGAUCUACAGUCUCGAUACCUUGUCUCCCUCAGAAAUAGUCAUUGUUCAGGUUCUUUGAACAUUUCCCCGCAUCCAUCUACCUCCGCUUUUUAUCCAUUGAAGCCUGUGCUCUCAAUGGUGGGCACUGAAUUUGGGAGGCAAGGGAUUGUUUGUUGUUGUUGUGAUUUACAGCUUCCAGGCGACUCAACAAAGUUUUUAGAAACAGUAUUUUUGGAACUUGACUAGGUUUCGAAACUGAAAUUCCUGAGAUAUGCUCACCGUGCCAAAGAUACCGUUGGAUUUGUGACCCCU
rnacentral:sRNA from 2 species